UAUAAUAUCAGGUUUGACAACAAAUGGCCUUAGAUGUUUGUUAAAUGUAAUUUAAAAUUGUAAUGACGUAAAAAAAACAAAAAUUAAAGACGACAAUAAGAAUAAGUAAUGAGGGGGGGAAAAGAAAAAUGACGAGAAUGCAAUUUUAACCCUUUCAUUUUUAUUGUGGGUGAUGUGAAGGAAGGUACUACCUACUACCCAAGAGGCUGAAGUAUUUAACAAGCUUUGAUGAGUGAGCACUCAAAGAAAAAACAAUGCAGCAGCUUUUGGAGGCAAUAGUGAUUAGUGCAGUGCAGGCUCUCGUAAAGAUUCCAUAUCUGUGCUUUCCUCAUCACUCUUAUCAUUUUUCCUUCUCCAUCAGGUACACUACUCACUCCCUAUACUGUACAUUCACCCUUUGGUCUUGAAUUUGAGGUGGGGAUUAUAUGAACAUUCACCCUUUUCUCCUCUCGGUGCGUUUUCGGUUUCAUCUCUGGUCUUGUUUCUUGUUUCAUCUCUGAUAGGUUGUUGAACUUUCAAUUUUAUAUAUAAUUGGUCUCAAGUCACUGAACUUUUAA